rnacentral:rRNA from 1 species
UACGGGGGGGGCAAGCGUUGUUCGGAAUUACUGGGCGUAAAGGGCGUGUAGGCGGCCAACUAAGUCCGACGUGAAAUCCCCAGGCUUAACCUGGGAACUGCGUCGGAUACUGGAUGGCUUGAAUCCGGGAGAGGGAUGCAGAAUUCCAGGUGUAGCGGUGAAAUGCGUAGAUAUCUGGAGGAAUACCGGUGGCGAAGGCGGCAUCCUGGACCGAGGAUUGACGCUGAGGCGCGAAAGCCAGGGGAGCAAAGCGGG